UCAAUUCUCCCUUUAUGAUUAGUGUUUGCUAGUCAUUAGGGCUUCCAAAAACCAUGAGUGACACCUAGCAGUAUGUCAUGGUCACCCAAGCUAAGUAGAAUUGGUUGGAGAACCUAUCCAGUUACAACUACAAUGCAAUACGGUCAUUCUCUAAUACAAUACUCUUAAUCACAUUGUUUAGGUGAUAGUUUGUUUCAUGUCUACUAUCCAAUGUGAUACUUUUCUAUAUGAUUCCUUUGAAUAUGAAUUAGAACAAACUUCCUAAGUCAUAUUCAUUUGCUUUGGCCAAAGACUUACGAAUCAUAUCUUAGAGUAUU
rnacentral:lncRNA from 1 species